AGAUAGGAUAAGGGCUAGUGUUUAUUGCAAUUCCAUUUUAAAUUUUAAUUUAAUUCAAACUUUUUCUCACCUUUAUCUGACUAAAAGAGGGACCUACCAGAGGAUUUUAGACAUGGAAAACAAAUGGGAGCUCCUCCUUUUUGUCGCACAAAACAGGCUCCUUCAUAAGGCACCGACGAGUGGGAUGAUAGGGAUAGGUUUCUGAGUUUAAAUUCAGACCUUUUGAAUUCAAUUUAAAAUAAACCUAAUCCACUCCAAAGAGCAUGAUAAAAAAGGGUUUAGCUUCAAUUUUUCUCACGCACAAACUAAUUUUGUGCGAUGAGAAAAGGGUGAGUCUUUUUGGGUGGCGCAAAGGAGAGAGUCCUAUUCAUUUGGGACUCUAAGAUUGUUGGGUGGAUGUCUGGCUAGGACAUCACCUCCCAAGACCUUUUUAAUACCGCACGAUGCAGCAGGAAAAAAGAAGAAAUAAAAUAAAAAUAAUCAAUUACGUAAAUCAGUCAAAAAGAGCUCACCUCCACGGGGUAUGUAAAGUUCACUAUGAGAAAAAGAAAUAUUACAAGAGAAGAUCUCACCCUCAACCCUUAUACACCCAAUUUCUCCCUCACAGGAAGUUCUCCCUCACAAAAACUCUCUAUCUAAGAAGACCCCCUGAACCCC
rnacentral:lncRNA from 1 species